GAUGAACGCUGGCGGCGUGCCUAAUACAUGCAAGUCGAGCGAACAGACGAGUAGCUUGCUCCUCUGACGUUAGCGGCGGACGGGCGAGUAACACGUGGAUAACCUACUUCUAAGACUGGGCUAAAUUCGGGAAACCGGAGCUAAUACCGGAUAAUAUAUUGAACCGCAUGGUUCAAUAGUGAAAGACGGUUUUGCUGUCACUUAUAGAUGGAUCCGCGCCGCAUUAGCUAGUUGGUAAGGUAACGGCUUACCAAGGCAACGUUGGGUAGCCGACCUGAUCGGGUGAUCGGGCACACUGGAACUGAGACACGGUCCAGACUCCUACGGGAGGCAGCAGUAGGGAAUCGUCCGCAAUGGGCGAAAGCCUGACGGAGCAACGCCGCGUGGGUGAUGAAGGGCUUCGGGUCGUAAAACUCUGUUAUUAGGGAAGAACAAAUGUGUAAGUAACUAUGCUCGUCUUGACGGUACCUGAUCAGAAAGCCACGGCUAACUACGUG
rnacentral:rRNA from 1 species